rnacentral:piRNA from 1 species
AACCUGGGAGUGUACAUGUAUGC